CCAGUUUUGCAAAAUCCGCCUGAUAAGCCAAAGACGUGAUGUGGAGCGAAAUAAAAGUAGCGAAGUAUGUGAGCCAUGUGCCGAGAAAAGCCGCUAUCGUUUUAUAUGUGCCCGUACCGUAAACCGACACAGGUGGAUGAGGAGAGAAUCCUAAGGCCGACGGAAGAAGCAUUGUUAAGGAACUCGGCAAAAUGACCCCGUAACUUCGGGAGAAGGGGUGCCCACUUCAGGGUGGGCCGCAGAGAAUAGGCUCAAGCAACUGUUUAGCAAAAACACAGGUCUAUGCGAAACCGUAAGGUGAAGUAUAUGGGCUGACGCCUGCCCGGUGCUGGAAGGUUAAGAGGAGAGGUUAGUCGCAAGAUGAAGCUUUGAAUUUAAGCCCUAGUAAACGGCGGCCGUAACAAUAACGGUCCUAAGGUAGCGAAAUUCCUUGUCGGGUAAGUUCCGACCCGCAUGAAAGGCGUAAUGAUUUGAGCACUGUCUCGACAAUGCAUCCGGUGAAAUUGAAGUACCAGUGAAGAUGCUGGUUACCCGCGCCAGGACGGAAAGACCCCAUGGAGCUUUACUCCAGUUUGGUACUGGGAUUCGGUACUGCAUGUACAGGAUAGGUGGGAGACUGAGAAAUUGGAACGCCAGUUUCAAUGGAGUCACUGUUGGGAUACCACCCCUGCAGUAUUGGGUUUCUAACCAGCCGCUGUGAUCCAGCGGUGGGACAGUGCCAGGCGGGGAGUUUGACUGGGGCGGUCGCCUCCGAAAGGGUAUCGGAGGCGCUCAAAGGUUCCCUCAGAAUGGUCGGAAACCAUUUUAAGAGUGCAAAGGCAGAAGGGAGCUUGACUGCGACACCGACGGGUGGAGCAGGUACGAAAGUAGGACUUAGUGAUCCGGUGGCACAAAGUGGGAUUGCCAUCGCUCAACGGAUAAAAGCUACCCUGGGAUAACAGGCUUAUCACUCCCAAGAGUUCACAUCGACGGAGUGGUUUGGCACCUCGAUGUCGGCUCAUCGCAUCCUGGGGCUGUAGCAGGUCCCAAGGGUUGGGCUGUUCGCCCAUUAAAGCGGUACGCGAGCUGGGUUCAGAACGCCGUGAGACAGUUCGGUCCCUAUCCGGCGCGGGCGGAGGAUAUUUGAGAGGAGCUGUCCUUAGUACGAGAGGACCGGGAUGGACGGACCACUGGUGUAUCUGCUGUCGACCAACGGCAUGGCAGAGUAGCCAAGUCCGGAAGGGAUAAACGCUGAAGGCAUCUAAGCGUGAAGCCCCCCUCAAGAUGAGAUAUCCCUCACAUAAGUGAGUAAGAUCCCUUGAAGAGUACAAGGUAGAUAGGGCAGAGGUGGAAGCAUGGUAACAUGUGGAGCUGACUGUUACUAAUCGAUCGAGGGCUUGACCU
rnacentral:rRNA from 1 species